AGUGAACGCUGGCGGUAGGCCUAACACAUGCAAGUCGAACGGCAGCACAGGAGAGCUUGCUCUCUGGGUGGCGAGUGGCGGACAGGUGAGGAAUACAUCGGAAUCUACCUUUUCGUGGGGGAUAACGUAGGGAAACUUACGCUAAUACCGCAUACGACCUACGGGUGAAAGUGGGGGACCGCAAGGCCUCACGCGAUUAG
rnacentral:rRNA from 1 species